CAGCAGCGAUUUCCAUGUUGGUUAUCUGCUUGGUCUGAGUGAACGUGAAUCUCUAAAUGGGUUUCUACCUGGAGAUGGCCCAUCUGUGUUCAGCCUCUGCUCAGGGUGUUUCCCUGUACCUGACCCAAUAGGGAAAAUGAUUGUCCCACUGAGAAGCUCUGCUACACAGUACGGCAGGAAUCUCAGACGUGCCUGCUUCUUCUGACUGUUCCCCAAACUCUUGGCGAGUGAGCGCACCCAUAGUUUGUACCAUGGCACCCACCCUUCUCCUGUGAGACAAGUUACAUUUGCAUCAAGGCCAUUCAUUCACAGGUUGGCCGAAGAACAAGAUGCAAUUGGUUCAGCUUCACAAGAGACAGAAACUGAAGUGUGAGAUGGUGAUUGAAGCAGAAAUACCCACCCUGAAUGUGGACAGUACCAUCCAAAAAGUUGUGGGCUAUGAUGGAAGAAGGUGGAAGAAGAGAAAGCCAUCCAGUUGGUGAAAUAAUUUGGCAGAAGGUGGAGCAGAGGAGGAGGGAGGGAUUCCAGUUUCUAGGCCCCCUCCACACUGGCCAUCGGAACACUGCUAAUGGAUCUAGGAGGCUGACCAUCUUGGUCCUCUGCUCUGGCCUUGUCACAGGGGCUGGAGCCCUCUGCCUACAUGAUGCUUGCUGCUUUGACAGUGCAUCUGAGGAUUUACAACUAUUAUAUACAGUCCUCCCUCCAUCCCCGCUUCCUGCACUUCCCAGUGGCUGCAGGAAUCCCAACCCCCACUGCCGAUGUCAAUCAAGGCGACCCCAUUUCCCUUCUCCUCUCCCAAAACCCCAAGGACAGAGACCAAAUGGAAAUUACAUAGUGUUAUUAUUUGUACCCUAACUGAAAAAUUUAUGACUCUGUAAAAAAUAUAGACAAAGAUGUUGUCUGCUGAGAGCUGAAGAUAAGAAGUGAAGCAUGGUAUUGGCAACGCCUCCCAGGGGCUGCACUUGAGCGAGGAUGGAUCACUCAUCCGAUCUUCAUGGAGACAACCACUGCCUCUCCAGCUUCAUUUAGAAACUGCAGAAGAAAACCAGCUCUUUGUGGCACAACAGCAAGAGGAAAUGAUAAACCAAGCUAGCUUUGAAUUUACACAGUGCCAAGAACUCCUUCUACAUGGCUUAGGCCCACAAGUCUGUUUG